rnacentral:lncRNA from 1 species
UAUAAUCCUACUAUCAGUAAAAAAAAUGUCUGUUAUUUUACGUUUACUGAAAUCCAAUUUACUGUAAAAAUAACGUAACUACAGUAAAGUAAUAUUUUAACGGUAUCUUGUAUAAUAAGAAUACGAUAGAUUGUUGAUUUGUUGUAGCCUAAAUUACAAGGUAUCAUAUCGUUUUUCUACAGGUUAAAAUUGCCAUUGUGUUUUAACGUCAGAGCUCGAAAUUUACACUAUAAGUUGGUGUAAAUUUACCUACCUAAACCGUUAAGUAUUGUACAGUAUUAAGAAAGAAAAGGAAUUGCUAUGUGAAUAUACGAUGGAUUCGUAAAUUUAAUGUGUUUGCUGAUUAAUUUUACGCUGUCAUAUCACUGUUAUCCGUAGUUUAACAGGUCAGAAUCAACAUUAAGUAAAUGAACAUCGGAGCUCGUAAGGCUAAGCGUAAUUUUACAAUUUCAAAACUUCUUUUAAAUAAAGAGUAGGUCUACUAGGCCUAGGCAUACGUAUAACGGUGUAUUUUUGUAACAACGAUGAUAUUGUGAAUUAAACGCUGACAUUAUUCUGCUAAUGUCAUAAUAUUUCACCUACUACAAAUUGGCGUAAAGGAGGCCUAUUCCACCUUGAUCGUGUCAAAUAUUUUUUAAUUCCUUGACAAUUAUAUAUUUUUAAACAUUGUUAUUAAUAUACGUUCCCUAGCGUAAAAUUAAAGUGAAAACAAUUUAUUUGGCGCGCUUACGAUCACGUGACAUCUCAGUUUAUGACGCAUUAUGACACACGCAUGCGUAGUGUGUCGACGUUGAGGUGCGGACAGCCGCAUGCAGUGGUAUGGAAGAGGAGAGCACAUGUAAAGUUCGUUUACGACUACGUCGGUUAUUUAUCUUGGAAAACAAAAGGAUCAGUGAGUUCAUUAUUACAGAUAAUUAUGGAAACUGUUAGUGAUUCAUGUUUUCGAAUUUUGAUGAAAGAAAAACGUUUGGGAAAACUGGAUGAGCUUGGUUUGGUCCAUGAAGCAGAUCUUGCACUAGUUACGGAAGGAUGACAUUCUAAAGGCCAUAGAUGUGCACAAGUGUAGUACACAUUUUAUGAAAGCAAAAUGUGAACAAAAAACACUCCAGAAACUUUAUUCCCAUUUCAAGCCUAGGAGAUUUAUCCAGUCCAGAGCGAAACUCAAGUCAAGAAGAGUACCUUGAUCUUCUAUCACAGAAGACAUUUUUUGCCAACACUCCCAGAGCAAGGGAGUCACUUGGACACAGAAGCAUUUCAGUCUAUGAUAGUGGAAACAAUCCUGAUGAUGUCUACUGGAACAAGGUAGCUAAUCAAGUUAAAAAGUAUUUUCAGAAAGGGGAAUGACAACUACCUUCGUCAGAAAGAAUUAGCUGGUCCGAUAUUGUU